CCUUGAAAGUCUACUUUCAAGGGGAGGCGAGUUCCGAUUUGGUAGGUGACCUUUGCCGGUUACAUGCCUUCGUUGCUCGCUAAGCUUCCCAGUAGUCGUUGUGCAGGACGCCUUUUGGCUUUCGACCUGAGGUCAGGCAAACACCCGCUGAACUUAAGCAUAUCAAUAAGCGGAGGAAAAGAAACUAACUAGGAUUCCCUUAGUAGCGGCGAGCGAACCGGGAUGAGCCCAACUUGUAAAUCAUUAGCCUUCGGCUGAUUGAAUUGUAGUCUCAAGAUGCGAUCUCUGCAGCUAGCAGUGCCCAAUUUUCCUUGGAAAAGGGAGUCAGAGAGGGUGAGAACCCCGUCGGCACUUGCCUCAGCUGCUCCACGAGGCGUUUUCUCAGAGUCGGGUUGCUUGGGAAUGCAGCCCUAAGUAGGUGGUAAAUCCCAUCUAAGGCUAAAUACUGACGGGAGACCGAUAGCGAACAAGUACCGUGAGGGAAAGAUGAAAAGAACUUUGAAAAGAGAGUCAAAAGUGCUUGAAAUUGUUGAGGGGGAAGGAAUUGGAAGCCGUUUGUGCGCCCGGGCUUAAGUGGGCAAUUCUGCCCAUUGUACGCCUUGGGUGCCGGUCAGCAUCGGCUACUGGACCGGGAUAAUAACUUUCCUUGGAGAGUGCAUGUCGGCCCGGUGGCCGAGGAUUUGAAAGG
rnacentral:rRNA from 1 species